GGACGAUUAGCUCAGCUGGCUAGAGCGUCUCUUUUACACAGAGAAGGUCGGGGGUUCGAGCCCUCCAUCGUCCA
rfam:Microgenomates (Gottesmanbacteria) bacterium GW2011_GWA1_48_13 TY27_C0014, whole genome shotgun sequence.